rnacentral:rRNA from 1 species
GAGCUCGAUGAGUAGGGCGGGACACGUGGUAUCCUGUCUGAAUAUGGGGGGACCAUCCUCCAAGGCUAAAUACUCCUGACUGACCGAUAGUGAACCAGUACCGUGAGGGAAAGGCGAAAAGAACCCCGGCGAGGGGAGUGAAAAAGAACCUGAAACCGUGUACGUACAAGCAGUGGGAGCACGCUUAGGCGUGUGACUGCGUACCUUUUGUAUAAUGGGUCAGCGACUUAUAUUCUGUAGCAAGGUUAACCGAAUAGGGGAGCCGAAGGGAAACCGAGUCUUAACUGGGCGUUAAGUUGCAGGGUAUAGACCCGAAACCCGGUGAUCUAGCCAUGGGCAGGUUGAAGGUUGGGUAACACUAACUGGAGGACCGAACCGACUAAUGUUGAAAAAUUAGCGGAUGACUUGUGGCUGGGGGUGAAAGGCCAAUCAAACCGGGAGAUAGCUGGUUCUCCCCGAAAGCUAUUUAGGUAGCGCCUCGUGAAUUCAUCUCCGGGGGUAGAGCACUGUUUCGGCAAGGGGGUCAUCCCGACUUACCAACCCGAUGCAAACUGCGAAUACCGGAGAAUGUUAUCACGGGAGACACACGGCGGGUGCUAACGUCCGUCGUGAAGAGGGAAACAACCCAGACCGCCAGCUAAGGUCCCAAAGUCAUGGUUAAGUGGGAAACGAUGUGGGAAGGCCCAGACAGCCAGGAUGUUGGCUUAGAAGCAGCCAUCAUUUAAAGAAAGCGUAAUAGCUCACUGGUCGAGUCGGCCUGCGCGGAAGAUGUAACGGGGCUAAACCAUGCACCGAAGCUGCGGCAGCGACGCUUAUGCGUUGUUGGGUAGGGGAGCGUUCUGUAAGCCUGCGAAGGUGUGCUGUGAGGCAUGCUGGAGGUAUCAGAAGUGCGAAUGCUGACAUAAGUAACGAUAAAGCGGGUGAAAAGCCCGCUCGCCGGAAGACCAAGGGUUCCUGUCCAACGUUAAUCGGGGCAGGGUGAGUCGACCCCUAAGGCGAGGCCGAAAGGCGUAGUCGAUGGGAAACAGGUUAAUAUUCCUGUACUUGGUGUUACUGCGAAGGGGGGACGGAGAAGGCUAUGUUGGCCGGGCGACGGUUGUCCCGGUUUAAGCGUGUAGGCUGGUUUUCCAGGCAAAUCCGGAAAAUCAAGGCUGAGGCGUGAUGACGAGGCACUACGGUGCUGAAGCAACAAAUGCCCUGCUUCCAGGAAAAGCCUCUAAGCAUCAGGUAACAUCAAAUCGUACCCCAAACCGACACAGGUGGUCAGGUAGAGAAUACCAAGGCGCUUGAGAGAACUCGGGUGAAGGAACUAGGCAAAAUGGUGCCGUAACUUCGGGAGAAGGCACGCUGAUAUGUAGGUGAAGCGACUUGCUCGUGGAGCUGAAAUCAGUCGAAGAUACCAGCUGGCUGCAACUGUUUAUUAAAAACACAGCACUGUGCAAACACGAAAGUGGACGUAUACGGUGUGACGCCUGCCCGGUGCCGGAAGGUUAAUUGAUGGGGUCAGCGCAAGCGAAGCUCUUGAUCGAAGCCCCGGUAAACGGCGGCCGUAACUAUAACGGUCCUAAGGUAGCGAAAUUCCUUGUCGGGUAAGUUCCGACCUGCACGAAUGGCGUAAUGAUGGCCAGGCUGUCUCCACCCGAGACUCAGUGAAAUUGAACUCGCUGUGAAGAUGCAGUGUACCCGCGGCAAGACGGAAAGACCCCGUGAACCUUUACUAUAGCUUGACACUGAACAUUGAGCCUUGAUGUGUAGGAUAGGUGGGAGGCUUUGAAGUGUGGACGCCAGUCUGCAUGGAGCCGACCUUGAAAUACCACCCUU